AUUUAUUUAAAUAGCUGCAGUAUUUUGACUGUACAAAGGUAGCAUAAUCAUUUGUCUUUUUAUUAAAGUCUGGAAUGAAAGAUUGAAUGAAAUAAAAACUGUCUCAAAUUAAUUAUAUUAUUAAAAUUUAUUUUAAGUAAAAAUUCUUAAAUUUUAUAAAAAGACGAGAAGACCCUAUAGAAUUUUAUAAAUAAUUAAUAUUAUUUAUAAUAAAUAAUAAAUAAUAUUAAUUUAUUUAUUUUGUUGGGGUGACAAAAAAAUUAAUUUAAUUUUUUUAAUAUAUUUACAUUAUAAAUGAUUAUAUUAUCCAAUACUAUUGAAUAUAUAUUAAAUUACCUUAGGGAUAACAGCGUUAAAUUUUUAGAGAGUUCAUAUUGAUAAAAAUUAUUGCGACCUCGAUGUUGAAUUAAAAUAAAUUAUUAUUGAAGAAAAUAAU
rnacentral:rRNA from 1 species